rnacentral:tRNA from 1 species
CUAUUUUGGCAGAAAUAAUGUGAUGAUUUUAGAAUUCAUUUAUAUAUGAUUAAAUUAUAUAGGUAGUA